rnacentral:rRNA from 1 species
UACAGAGGUCCCGAGCGUUGUUCGGAUUCAUUGGGCGUAAAGGGUGCGUAGGUGGCGCCGUAAGUGGGGUGUGAAAUCCCGGGGCUUAACCCCGGGACUGCAUUCCAUACUGCGGUGCUUGAGGACUGGAGAGGAGACUGGAAUUUACGGUGUAGCAGUGAAAUGCGUAGAGAUGUGGAGGAACACCGAUGGCGAAGGCAGCCCCCCUGGGGUAACACUGACGCUCAUGCACGAAAGCGUGGGGAGCAAACAGGG